AUGCGCGAAGACCAAGACCCGCGCGCGCGCGCUGCAUCGCGCAGGCCUGAGAGCAUGUGCGACCACACCGUGGCACGCCUAUUCCAAGGGACACAAGGGGCCACUCUCUGGUUCUCCCAGCUGCCGGGGGUAAAAAGAAAGCUGCUGGAAUUCCAGGAGAGGGAAAGGACUGAGUCUGGAGACGGUGGGCUGGAGGGCUGGGGGGAGGGGGGAAGGGAGGUCCCCAGCGGUCACCUCACCUCCAUCUCUGGACGCCGCCCCCAGCAUUCUGUAUCCGGGCCUCGCCGGGAGGCUGCGGCGACGCGGGGCCUAUGGCUGGGCUCGCGGGGCUGGGAGAUCUACAGUUGAUCUGGGCGACACUUCGACAACCACUAACCCAGUGACUCAGACACUAACGGAGCAGCCAGGAUACAGGCAGCCUCAGAAGCUCUGCUUUGCAGAGACAGAACCGUCCGGUUGUCAGAAACCGGCACCUGGGACUCGCUCCCCAAAGGUUAUUUCAGACAGCCUUCACAACUUCGCGUGUGGCCGCGCCACAGUCUCAUGGACUCACCUUCCUCCGCUGUCGCACCGGCAGACACUCCAAAGCCCCUUGAACGGAGGUGUGUUCUUACACCUACACUCACGCACACAUACACCGACAAACUCCUCGUAUACACACCGCCUCACUCCCCGCUUCUCCAAAGUAUCUUUAGUCAAGUUACCAUCUCAUGAAGUUUACCAAGCUAAUGAAUCAAGGGAUAACAUUAAAACGCAUAAAAAGAAUGCCUACGAGAAAUUCUAAAACUCACCCCUAGAAAGUUCUCGGUACCUGUGCGGAGUGGGAGACAGAGACAAAAAUGAGGGAGGGAGGAAUGGGGUGGUGAGAGUGGAAACCGCGAGCACGCCGAAGGCAGGUCCCAGACCCGACUUCGGCGCCGACGGGGCACCGGCCGGGUGAGCGAGGGUGGAAACCGGGUCUCAAGGCCCGGCCCCCGCCCCCGCCCCCCGGCGCGGGUACAGACUGGCUCCCGGCUCCCCAGCGCUCCCAGCCCCACCAUUUAUCAAAAGGACUUGACAACAAAAGAAGAGCCGGGGUGGAAAAGGGCGAGGGGGAGGGGAGAGUCAAAGUCUUCCAAGUCCUUCCGAGGAAAGGGGUGUACCCUUCUCUCGCCCCCUUCCAGUUUCGGCGAGUUUUUGGAGGUCACCCACCCCUCGAAUUCGCUCCGGACGCUACCAAAGCCCUGACAACUCACACAGAGGCAUAGGCAUUCAUACACACUUCUGCACUCAGAUCCAGGUACGCGGAGGCACGCAGAGCGCCUCCCCUCUGCCUUCCCAACAGCCCGAAUGACGGUGCAAAUCGAGGGGAACGCGGCGGUCCCGCUCCGCUUCCCUGGAAGAGCCAGUUGUUCCCACAGGCAGCCGCCCCCACUCCACCCCACCCCACCCCACCCCACCGCACCCACCCUCUCUCUCUUGCUUCUUCCCUCUGCUCUCCCCGCGCUGGUCAGUCCUGGCUCGGCGGUCCAAUAAAUUCGAGCGAGCAGCCCAGAGUAACCCUGGCUACCAAGACUGCGGGGAUGGCAGGGGUUGAGGGAGGGCUGGAGAGGGGGCCUGAGUGAGCCUGGAACCUAUCUGCCCCAAACACACACGUCAGGCCUCUUCUUCGCAACCUCUCAGCCCUAGCCACGAUGGGGGACGGGUGUCAAAGAACUGAGGCCGGGGUACCCCACCACUGACCUCCAGAACUCAAGGCUACGUUGGUAAUGUGGCUCUUAGAAAGAAGCUUCCGAGUUUGGAGUCAGGGCACUAGGGAGGGGGUAGAGGGGGCCAGCUGGCAGCCUGACGACUGCACUCAACGUACCCCGAAGGGAGUACCAUGGCUUGGGGGGUAAAAAAUCUCCCGUGUUGGACGUCGCCACUGCCUGUCUCGGAUACCGAGAGCGCUCGGAACUCUGCGCGUGGCCCCAAAGGAACGGAAUCCCCAGAGGUGGAAGGGUGUUAUCUCUCUCUCCAGUACCUAGAGGAGCGAGGCGCACGCCCCAGGCCAGCGCACCCUUCUCAGCGCCCUGGGCGCACCUGCGCACUUUACUCUCACUAUUCAUUUUCCUGACACCGAGCGCCUCUUUCUCUUCUUUCAUUCUUUUUCUUAGAGCCCCCGCCUCUCAUCCCAGGAGGCUGCUCCUCCUUCCCCCUCCUUCAGUUCCCCCUCAGUCUCUCCCUUCCUCUGCGUCUCUCUCUCCCUCUCCCUUUUUCCCUUCAAGUCGCACCCGCCUUGUAAUCAGCAACAAAAGCUGACAUAAAUCACCGGCGGAUUGACAAGAGCUGACAAAUAACUGAUUGAUUGCGGUCGAGGAACAUUGACAAUUGAUGGAGGGGUGGAGAUGCCCAGAGAACUCGGGAGGGGGGGCGCGGGUAGAAGAAGAGAGGGUGGCAAAGGAGAGUAAGAAUUGCGGGGGGGUGCUGAGUGUGAAACAGAGGAAACAUGUGACCCCCCUCCUGCCCCAAUCUGCGCAUCUCCGGGCGUCACGUGGCCGGGAAGGGCGGGGAACCUAGCUUAGAGCCGAGACUUGCCUCCACCGCCUCCGCUGCCCACCUAGCUUCUGGUUUCUCUGCGCCGAAUCCCGGGAAAUCAAAGCGGGCGGGCGGACUUCCUCCAACACCCGCUCCCCACCUUUCCUUACCCAGGCGGCUGCACCGCAGGAGAUUUCAAUUACUGAGGCGGGGGAGAGAAUACUUGGGGGUGUGGACCUCCGUGGCGGCCCUGGAGUUGACAGUCCGGCCGUUGUCCAGACUCCUGCUAGUGCUCCUGCUGAACACGCUCAAACUGUUCCUUGCAAGCACCCUCCUGCAAAAGAAGGUUUCAGUUUAUUCUCCAGCUGGGGAAAAGGACGACGAGGAAGAAAAGAGAGGGAGGCGGCAGAUAGCAAACGUAGAAUAAAUGUCCAGCUCGUCCUCCAAGCGAAAUCUAGGGAGGGGACACGCAGGGGGAGCGGCAAAGAGGGAGCUGCCCAUUAAAACCAGCGCUGAGAGUCCUGGCGGCGGCGGCGGCGGCGGCGCGGGACGCGUCACAUCCCCUUGACCCUCCAAUCACCUCGGGCUCCCAUUUGAUUGGAAGGCGGCAAAGGCUUUAAUCUCCCCCUCGGUGCAGCUGCUUUUGAAGUGAGUUUCCUCGCCAGAGCCCCGGCUGGACAGGCAGCGGCUCACAUCGCGGAGAGCAGCGCCAGCGCCGGGCCGCGAGUGCGCAGCGCAGGGGC
ensembl:lncRNA